rnacentral:sRNA from 1 species
AGUUUGAUCUCAGACUACUGUGCUAGCAAUCAGCGAGACUUCGUGGGCGUAGGACCCUCUGAGCCAGACAAACAUCAUAUCUGAACUAAGUAAAUGGAGACUUAAUUUUAUUGACUGGCACCGAAUGGAAAUGAGAAAAGAGAAAGAAAAACAUGCAGCACAUUUAAAACAACUGUGUAAUCAGAUCAAUGAAUUGAAGGAGCUGCAAAAAACCUUUGAAAUCUCCAUUGGGAGAAAAGAUGAGGUGAUUUCUAGCUUGUCUCAUGCCAUAGGCAAGCAAAAGGAAAAGAUAGAGUUGAUGAGAACAUUCUUCCACUGGCGAAUCGGCCAUGUCAGAGCCAGACAGGAUGU